UACGGGGGGGGCAAGCGUUGUUCGGAAUUACUGGGCGUAAAGGGCUCGUAGGCGGCCAACUAAGUCAGACGUGAAAUCCCUCGGCUUAACCGGGGAACUGCGUCUGAUACUGGAUGGCUUGAGUUCGGGAGAGGGAUGCGGAAUUCCAGGUGUAGCGGUGAAAUGCGUAGAUAUCUGGAGGAACACCGGUGGCGAAGGCGGCUCGCUGGACCCUCUCUGACGCUGAGGCGCGAAAGCCAGGGGAGCAAACGGG
rnacentral:rRNA from 1 species